GGUGGUUGUAGUAGAUAGGUAUUACACCUGAUUGUGGAUCAGGGGCAUUGGGUUCGAAUCCCAACUACCACCU
rnacentral:tRNA from 1 species